rnacentral:rRNA from 1 species
GAAAGCGUGGGGAGCAAACAGGAUUAGAUACCCUGGUAGUCCACGCUGUAAACGAUGUCGAUUUGGAGUUUGGGGGCAUGACCCUUGGGCUCCGGAGCUAACGCGUUAAAUCGACCGCCUGGGGAGUACGGCCGCAAGGUUAAAACUCAAAUGAAUUGACGGGGGCCCGCACAAGCGGUGGAGCAUGUGGUUUAAUUCGAUGCAACGCGAAGAACCUUACCUGGUCUUGACAUCCAUAGAAUCUUGUAGAGAUACGAGAGUGCCUUCGGGAGCUAUGAGACAGGUGCUGCAUGGCUGUCGUCAGCUCGUGUUGUGAAAUGUUGGGUUAAGUCCCGCAACGAGCGCAACCCUUAUCCUUUGUUGCCAGCGGGUAAAGCCGGGAACUCAAAGGAGACUGCCGUUGAUAAAGCGGAGGAAGGUGGGGACGACGUCAAGUCAUCAUGGCCCUUACGACCAGGGCUACACACGUGCUACAAUGGCGUAUACAAAGGGAAGCGAAGGUGCGAACUGGAGCGGACCUCCUAAAGUACGUCUAAGUCCGGAUUGGAGUCUGCAACUCGACUCCAUGAAGUCGGAAUCGCUAGUAAUCGUGAAUCAGAAUGUCACGGUGAAUACGUUCCCGGGCCUUGUACACACCGCCCGUCACACCAUGGGAGUGGGUUGCACCAGAAGUAGAUAGCUUAACCGCAAGGGGGGCGUUUACCACGGUGUGAUUCAUGACUGGGGUGAAGUCGUAACAAGGUAACCA